UAUUUUAAAAAAAAACACUUGUGUGCACCAGAAUAUAAGCCUUUAUUCAAAAUGUAUCAAUAACCAACAUGAAACCAAGCAACUGAGAAAGUGUGUUAACAUGUUAAAAGGUAAAGGGAUGGGCUGGUAGUGUACUGUAUAAUGGAGAGCAAACCAUAGGAAGGGCUUCAGCUCUCAAAAGUUUAUUGUUAAAUUGAUUUUAAAGCCACCUCUUAACAUAAGGUACUGUAUUUUAAUUCACCACCACUUUCAUCAACAAACCACACGAACAAUUCACACGAACACAUUAACAAUACAACACUGCAGUAAAUGUACCCACUUCUUGUUCCUAUUUCUAUUGACGGUAAUGUAUGAAUAACAGAAACUGCACUGUGUAGUUACACUGAAAAGUAAUUCCCCCAACAGAUUAUGAUGAUGCAUUUGUUUCAGUGAGCCAAUCAAAUGAUGACAAUUUAUUUGAAAUAGAAAGUGUUUUUAACCUGCACUUGAGAAUUGGGAUUUUUUUCUGACUUGCCACUUUUCUAUCAGAAUUUUUAAGAUACUGGUUGGAAUGUUGGGGAUUUUCUGUUUUUUUAUAAAUGUUUCUUUUUUGCCCUAAAACCAUGUGACUGAAUUCAGAAGCUCUCUUUUCUCGAAUGAAAGGCUUAUUUUCAUGAGAUUCAGUGAGGGACAUAUCAGUACUGACUUGAAUCUCGGAUGUUAACAAAAUUCUGAGGUCAAAAAGAUGACUUAUCAUUCUGAUUUAUGUAAACAUUUGUAAUUUUAACUUAAAAUUGACAUAUGUUUUUCUACGUAACUGGAAAGCCAUUAAGAUAUGGGUGAAACCCUUAAAAUUUCACUGGCUAGUCUUUGCACCGAGCAUGCGCAGUAAGUUGCGGAAAGCACUUCCUGCUUCUCCUCGUCACAUGACGAGCUCACUUUUCAGAUGGUCUGAGUCAUCUAUAUCCUGAAACUCUCUCAUGGCUACAGUUCUUAGCUGACAGGCUAAGCUUGUAAGAACCAUGACACUUCAGGCUCCUCGCACUUCAGUCUUCACAUUUCAGUCUGCCGUGCACAGCGAUCACGUGCUGCAAUGCCUAAAUGACCAAAGGCUGCAGGACAUCCUCUGUGACGUGACGGUGGUGGUGGAGAACAGGAGUUUUCGAGCCCACUGCUCUGUCCUGGCGUCUUGCAGUGAAUACUUUCACAACAGGAUCGCAUGUGGCGCUGCGCAGAAUCCAGUCAUUACCCUACCUGAAGAGGUGACUGUGGGGGGCUUUGAGCCUCUGCUACAGUUUGCCUACACGUCACAGCUGCUCUUCACAAAAGAGAACAUCCAUGACAUUUGCAGAAGUGCUGAGUGCCUGGGGUUCCGAGACUUGGAGUCAUCGUGCUUCGAUUUCCUCAUCCCCAAGUUUACUGAAGGCAAAAGAACAUCACAGGAACUCAGACGUGGAGCAGCAUGUUGUCAAAGCCCAGACGCUGGUAUGAGUUGUGAGUUUGUCUCCAGUGAAAGCAGCAGCCGACCUAAAUCAUCAGAACCACACAGCAGAGUGCCUUCAGGACACAAUGAACAAAAAAACAUCCCUUCCCAGUGUCCUCAGAGUGCCCAGGGUCAGAAAGGUCCCAAGGAGGAAAGCUUCUGUUUGCAGAACUGUGGGCCUCAGAUGGAACCGUUAUCUCUGUUAUUAGCACCAAACAGUGUUUGCCCCAUGUUGUCUCUGCCAUGCCAGGACACUGACAAAGCAGACCAGUCUCAGUUCUGUGACAGAGACAUUUUAGAGAUGGGAGAUGUGUUUAGCUGCGGUUUAGCCUGUGAGCUGUCAACACCAGAGGAGGCGAAACGCAGUGUUCAGACGCUUCAUGCAGAAACCAACUUGGACCCCACUUCCUGUCCAAUCAACACAUCAGUCGCUGAUACUUGCAGUGAUUUGUCAGGUCAGACCGAGACCAACCUGGAACAGAGAAUGGCUGCUGAAAUCGCAGACACUGCACUUACUGCUUUAAGUCAACAGGAGGGUUUUGGGGAGAGGAGCAGCGUGGAGAGGGAGGUGGCCGAACAUCUGGCCAAAGGGUUUUGGUCUGACCUAUGUCAGUCUCAGAGUCAAACUCUCCCUCAGGAUUCAAUGGACCCAAACACUUUAGCAAAAGCGUCUGAUUUCCAUUGGCUGAAGCAGCUGGACCUGUCUUCCAGUGCAGGGGACUGCCCUUUUCUCAAGGACCUGGGGACAGGUAGCGACCUGACUCCACGCACCGACGGUCUGUCCCAGAUGGAGAAGAGCCCCUGCUUAUCCUCUUCCAUCAACUCUGCUGACGACUCGGAUCUGGACACUGAUGGAGACACUGAAGCUAACAACAAGAGAGCCGCUGAGAUUGAUCUUCCGUUUCCAGUAGAACAGAUCUCCACCCUGAAUCGCAGUGCCUUCCAGCAGCUUUUGAGGAACCAUCAUCUGACUCCAGAUCAGCUAGAGUUUGUCCACGAUGUACGCAGACGAAGCAAAAACCGUGUGGCUGCUCAGCGUUGCAGGAAGAGGAAACUAGAUGGAAUACAACACCUAGAAUGUGAAAUCAAAAAACUAAAAAGUGAAAAAGAGCGACUGCUGCAGGAGCACACGGAACUGAAGCAGAACCUGGACGAGAUGCGUCAGAGCCUCCACCUGUUGUGUAAGAGUGUCAGCAUGGAGUCCAGUGCUGACCAGGACUCAUUACAGCUCCUGACUAAGAUCUCCACCUCACCAGGAUUUCCCCCGUCACUUGUCAAAGACGAGGAGUCGCAGAUCACCAUUGAAAUGGGGAGUUUUUCACGGCAGAGACACACAAUGACGUAGUGUUUUGCCGUCCAUCCUGUCACUCCUUCUCCUGGUUCCCAGGGGGAGAGAGAAGGAAAUUUAGUGCCAACCCCUUCCCAGUGCAACACCAUCGCCACACCACUCCAUCCUGGAGCUGUGCCAGGCUGUGACUGAAUAAAGGAGCUGCUGACCAGUCCAUUACCUUCGUUUGAUGUAAAGCACUGAGGCCUCUCUGUUUACGGAUCUACAUCCAACUCACAUUCCUCUGUGCCAAAUACAUAGACAUGCCAACAGUACAACACUUAAGAUGCAGCAGAAGGCACACAAUUAAGGCCAAAGCCGAGUCGCUGAUCCGCCAACAUGGAUACGUCCUGAAGAUUAACUUCAAAUCUGGCAACAUUCGACCUCGACAACGUCUUUGAUUUUGUGCAAGAAACGAUUAAGUCUGUGCUUCGGGCCUGACGGAGAUGCAAAAGUGACCUACAGACACACUGACCGAAACCCGAUGACAUGAUCACAGAUGUCAGACUGCCGCCUACUUUUCAUGUAAAGUGAGCUGAGCACAGAAAGGUGCACGUGUGGAGCACAGAAAGUAUAUUUCAUCGUAUUCUGAAGCUUGACCAGGGACAAAUUAGCUGAAGUACGAUGACCCCUGUGAUGAGCAGAACACCAGCUGUGGCCCAGCCAGUGUAGAGGGCGCUGCCCAGCUCCCGUUUCUGAGCGUCUGUCACCUGAGGGUUGUAAAAGUCCCUGAUGACAGUGUGGGCCACCCAGCUGA